CAAUAGCGUAUAUUAAAGUUGUUGCGGUUAAAAAGCUCGUAGUUGGAUUUCUGUUGAGGAAGUCCGGUCCGCACUUUGUGCGUGAUCUGGUUCUGCCUCGGCAUCCUCGCGGGGAACGCGCUGCGCUUGAUUGCGUGGUGUGGUAUUCGCGACUUUUACUUUGAGGAAAUUAGAGUGUUCACGGCAGGCAUUCGCCUUGAAUACGUUAGCAUGGAAUAAUAAUAUAGGACCUCGGUUCUAUUUUGUUGGUUUUCUAGAGACUAGAGGUAAUAGAGUUAAUAAGGGUAGGUAGUUGGGGUCGAUUCGUAUUUAACUGUCAGGAGGUAGUAAAUUCUUGGUAUUUGUUAAAGACGGAACUACUGCGAAAGCAUUUGCCAAGGAUGUUUUCAUUGAUCAAGAACGAAAGUUAGGGGAUCGAAGAUG
rnacentral:rRNA from 1 species